UCUCCGUAGGUGAACCUGCGGAGGGAUCAUUACCGAGUGAGGGCUCACGCCCGACCUCCAACCCUUUGUGAACUACAACUCUGUUGCUUCGGGGGCGACCCCGCCGUUUCGGCGGUGGCGCUCCCGGUGGCCAUUAAACACUGCAUCAUUGCGUCGGAGUUAAAGUAAAUUAAACAAAACUUUCAACAACGGAUCUCUUGGUUCCAGCAUCGAUGAAGAACGCAGC
rnacentral:misc_RNA from 1 species